CCUGACAGGUGUUUGUCCAACCUGUUCUUAAAAACCUUCAAUGACGGGGAUUCCACAACCUCCCCUUGUAGCCUGUUCCAGACCUUAACUACUCUCAUAGUUAGAAAGUUUUUUCCUAAUAUCUAACCUCAAUCUCCCUUGUUGCAGAUUAAGCCCAUUACUUCUUGUCUUACCUUCAGUGGGUAGGGAGAACAAUUGAUCACCCAUUUAUAUCAGCCCUUAA